rnacentral:rRNA from 1 species
AUUGAACGCUGGCGGCAUGCCUUACACAUGCAAGUCGAACGGUAGAGUAGCAAUACUUGAGAGUGGCGAACGGGUGAGUAAUAUAUCGGAACGUGCCCAGUCGUGGGGGAUAACGUAGAGAAAUUUACGCUAAUACCGCAUACGAUCUAAGGAUGAAAGCGGGGGAUUCGCAAGAACCUCGCGCGAUUGGAGCGGCUGAUAUCAGAUUAGGUAGUUGGUGAGGUAAAGGCUCACCAAGCCGACGAUCUGUAGCUGGUCUGAGAGGACGACCAGCCACACUGGGACUGAGACACGGCCCAGACUCCUACGGGAGGCAGCAGUGGGGAAUUUUGGACAAUGGGCGCAAGCCUGAUCCAGCAAUGCCGCGUGCAGGAUGAAGGCC